CCUGGGUUACUGUUAUACCAUGCAUGUGAACACAAGACUAAAGUGGUAGUAUAUUUUCUGAUAAAGGAAAAACAAAAAACAAAAUGAACAAAAAAAAAGAGAGAAAAAGAGAAGUACAAAUAUAAGUCAAGGUAGCAAUAUUAGUUUUUACUAGCCAUAAGGUAACAAACAGCAUUUUCACUUGUGAAGACAGAGAGAGAGGGGGAGAUGGGAAAGGAACAGAUAGUAACUCUUAAUGGCCCACCUUCAGCUAUUAUAUUAUCACUGCUAAUUUAUUCCAAACCAUGAUUCAUACCAACAUAAAUCUCUCUGGAACAGGUAUGAUUUUUCAUCUAUCUGAGUUUAAUACAGUUCAAAACAGAUGGGACUGCAAUGUUGUGCUCUAAUUAUGUACAGUAUAGUACCACGCUGCAGUGUGGUAGAAGCCCUCCUGGAAACCAGACAGGAGCAGACAGAAAGACCUCAGUGAUAUCACUUCGACAGAAUGACCAAAUGGGCUGGCGGGUGAGCUGGGAAACAGAGCCACAACUCAAAAAUGAUGCAGUAUCAGACGUCAACUGCUCCUUAUGACAGAGAGGAUACAUGGGAUAAGCUAGAAAACCAAAUCACUGACUGCCUUUUCAUCCACCAAGACCCUUCAGGCUUUCAGUAUAUUUUUUGGUCCCUGAAAUUCUCACAGCUCUCCUGAUUAGUGAGCUACGGAACAGGGGCAAAGCAAUGCCAGUGAUCUCAUUAAAUCCUCCUUUACCCAAGUCAUGAAAGAUCAGCACAAUAUCUAAAUCACUUUAAUUCUCCCUACUGAGAUUCUGAUAAUAGAAAACUAUGCUCAUCUGCAAAUUCCCUAUACAGAUGUAGACACUGUAAUUGACCAGUUGACCUAUGAAAUAUUAUGCUAUUGCCACCUCUUACUUGUGACCCUCCUGAGUAUCUAUUAUGCUAGCACGGGUUUGCAGAAUUAAACGUGUCAAACUGUAUUUUCAAACUCUGAAAACUUUCAGCUUUUCUUGUGUGAUCUAUAACAUUUUUAAAAUGAAAAUGUAAUUACAUAAAGAAUUACUUACACACUCUAAAACAUUUUCACAUACACAUAUAUACAUACACAUUCGGAGCCCAGAGAGCAUCC
rnacentral:lncRNA from 1 species